rnacentral:tRNA from 1 species
AUUUUAUUAGUAUAAACAGUACAUCUAAUUUCCAAUUAGAAAGUUUAUUUUUAAAUAAAAUA